rnacentral:rRNA from 1 species
ACCAGACUCCUACGGGAGGCAGCAGUGGGGAAUAUUGCACAAUGGGGGAAACCCUGAUGCAGCGACGCCGCGUGAGUGAAGAAGUAUUUCGGUAUGUAAAGCUCUAUCAGCAGGGAAGAAGAUGACGGUACCUGACCAAGAAGCUCCGGCUAAAUACGUGCCAGCAGCCGCGGUAAUACGUAUGGAGCAAGCGUUAUCCGGAUUUACUGGGUGUAAAGGGAGCGCAGGCGGCCUUGCAAGUCUGAUGUGAAAGGCCGGGGCCCAACCCCGGGACUGCAUUGGAAACUGCGAGGCUGGAGUGUCGGAGAGGCAGGCGGAAUUCCUAGUGUAGCGGUGAAAUGCGUAGAUAUUAGGAAGAACACCAGUGGCGAAGGCGGCUUACUGGACAGUAACUGACGUUGAGGCUCGAAAGCGUGGGGAGCAAACAGGAUUAGAUACCCGCGUAUA